AUUGAACGCUAGCGGCAGGCCUAACACAUGCAAGUCGAACGAGUGGCGGACGGGUGAGUAAUGUCUGGGAACCUGCCUGAUAGCGGGGGAUAACUACUGGAAACGGUAGCUAAUACCGCAUACCAUCAGAUGUGCCCAGAUCGGAUUAGCUGGUUGGUGGGGUAAAGGCUCACCAAGGCGACGAUCCCUAGCUGGUCUGAGAGGAUGACCAGCCACACUGGAACUGAGACACGGUCCAGACUCCUACGGGAGGCAGCAGUGGGGAAUAUUGCACAAUGGGCGCAAGCCUGAUGCAGCCAUGCCGCGUAUAUGAAGAAGGCCUUAGGGUUGUAAAGUACUUUCAGCGGGGAGGCGUUACCCGCAGAAGAAGCACCGGCUAACUCCGUGCCAGCAGCCGCGGUAAUUC
rnacentral:rRNA from 1 species